UGGGGAAUAUUGGACAAUGGGCGCAAGCCUGAUCCAGCCAUGCCGCGUGGGUGAAGAAGGCCUUAGGGUUGUAAACCCCUUUCACCGGUGACGAUGAUGACGGUAGCCGGAGAGGAAGCCCCGGCUAACUCCGUGCCAGCAGCCGCGGUAAUACGGAGGGGGCAAGCGUUGUUCGGAAUUACUGGGCGUAAAGGGCGCGUAGGCGGUCUGUCGCGUCAGGUGUGAAAGCCCCGGGCUCAACCUGGGAGGUGCACUUGAUACGGGCGGACUGGAAUCCGGGAGAGGAUGGUGGAAUUCCCAGUGUAGAGGUGAAAUUCGUAGAUAUUGGGAAGAACACCGAUGGCGAAGGCAGCCAUCUGGCCAUGACUGACACUCAGAGACGAAAGCUAAGGUAGCGAAUGGGAUUAGAUACCCCCGUAGUCC
rnacentral:rRNA from 1 species